CAUUCUGCCACGUGAGUGCCACGUGACUGUGCCCCGUAUAUAAACCCUAAAAUUGGGCGGGAAUCCAAAUCUUCCCUCCGUCACUCUUCCCUGCAACCCCUACUUAGCUCCCCGAGCUUUGCUAGCGAUGAGCUCCGGCAGGAGCAAUGGCGCCAACAGGAAGCGGCCGCCGCCGCAUCAGCCAUCACCAGCCACCAACCCAUCCAAGCUCCAAGCAGUUGCAACGCCGCCGCCGCAGCAAGCUUCACCAGCCGUUGAGGAUGACUUCAUGGACGAGGACGUCUAUCUCGAGGAAAACCUAAUCCAUGAGGACGAGGAAUCCCUCAUCCUCCGUGACAUCGAGGAGCGGCAAGCUCUCGCCUCCCGCCUCGCCAAGUGGGUCCGCCCAGCCCUCUCGAAGGGCUACAUCUCCCAGUCCAAGAACAUCGCUUUUCAGCAAUUGGAGAUUGAUUACGUUAUUGGGGAUGCCCACAAGCAACUGAUCCCUGAUCGUUCCGGUUCUGCUGCGAUUAUCAGGAUUUUCGGUGUCACAAGAGAAGGGCAUAGUGUAUGCUGCAAUGUCCAUGGAUUCGAGCCAUAUUUCUACAUUAGUUGUCCUCAAGGAAUGGGCCCUGACGAUAUAUCCCGUUUUCACCAAGUUCUGGAGGGGAGAAUGAGGGAAUCGAACAAGAAUGCCAGAGUGCCUAAAUGCAUCAGACGCGUCGAACUCGUUCAUAAGGGGAGUAUUAUGUACUAUCAAAAGCAAAAGUCCCAUCCUUUCCUCAAGAUCGUGGUUGCAUUGCCAACAAUGGUUGCCGGCUGUCGUGGGAUUCUUGACCGGGGCAUACAAAUUGAAGGCUUGGGUAUGAGGAGCUUUAUGACCUAUGAAAGCAACAUUCUCUUUGCUCUCCGUUUCAUGAUUGACUGCAACAUUGUUGGCGGGAAUUGGAUAGAAGUACCAGCUGGGAAAUAUCAGAAGACAUCGAGGAGUCUGUCUUAUUGCCAGUUAGAAUUGGACUGCUUGUAUACUGACCUGAUUAGCCAUGCCCCUGAAGGCGAACACUCAAAAAUGGCUCCUUUCCGCAUUUUGAGUUUUGAUAUAGAAUGUGCUGGCCGUAAAGGUCAUUUCCCAGAGCCCAAACAUGAUCCCGUUAUCCAGGUAGCCAACCUAAUCACUUUGCAGGGGGAGAGCCAGCCCUUUAUUCGAAAUGUUAUGACCUUGAAGUCAUGUUCUCCAAUAGUUGGUGUGGAUGUCAUGUCAUUUGACACUGAAAGAGAAGUCUUGCUAGCUUGGAGGGAUUUCAUACGUGAAGUUGACCCUGAUAUUAUUAUUGGAUAUAACAUCUGCAAGUUUGAUUUACCAUAUCUCAUUGAGAGAGCUGAAACUUUGGGGAUUACUGAAUUUCCUAUAUUUGGCCGUGUUAGGAAUAGCAGGGUCCGCGUUAGAGAUACAACUUUUUCUUCAAGGCAGUAUGGAACUAGGGAAAGUAAAGAAGUUACCAUUGAAGGGAGAGUCCAAUUCGAUUUGCUUCAGGCCAUGCAGCGGGAUUAUAAAUUGAGUUCUUAUUCCUUGAAUUCAGUUUCUGCCCACUUCCUCUCUGAGCAGAAAGAGGAUGUUCAUCAUUCAAUAAUAUCUGAUCUUCAGAAAGGCAAUGCAGAAACUAGGAGGCGGCUGGCUGUAUAUUGUCUAAAGGAUGCUUAUCUGCCACAGCGUUUGUUGGACAAAUUGAUGUUCAUUUACAACUAUGUGGAAAUGGCUAGAGUGACUGGUGUCCCUAUCUCUUUCCUACUUUCAAGAGGGCAAAGCAUUAAGGUGCUUUCUCAACUUCUGCGGAAGGCAAAGCAAAAAGAUCUUGUCAUUCCAAAUGCAAAACAAUCGGGAUCAGAGCAAGGAACGUUUGAAGGUGCAACAGUUUUGGAGGCAAACUCAGGAUUCUACGAAAAACCAAUUGCAACAUUGGAUUUUGCUUCUCUGUACCCAUCAAUUAUGAUGGCAUAUAAUCUAUGUUAUUGCACACUGGUGACACCUGAAGAUGUUCGCAAACUGAACCUUCCCCCAGAGUGUGUCAAUAAAACUCCAUCUGGUGAAACAUUUGUCAAGCCAAAUCUACAGAAGGGAAUCCUUCCCGAGAUCCUUGAGGAACUGCUGGCUGCCCGAAAACGAGCAAAAGCAGAUUUAAAGGAAGCAAAAGAUCCCCUUGAAAAGGCUGUGUUAGAUGGGCGACAACUGGCCUUAAAGGUCAGUGCCAAUUCUGUAUAUGGUUUCACCGGAGCUACUGUUGCGCAGUUGCCCUGCCUCGAGAUAUCAUCAAGUGUAACAAGCUACGGUCGGCAGAUGAUCGAGCAUACGAAACAACUUGUAGAAGAUAAAUUUACAAUAGCUAAAGGCUACGAACACAAAGCAGAGGUCAUUUAUGGGGACACAGAUUCUGUGAUGGUGCAGUUUGGUGUACCUACUGUUGAAGCAGCAAUGAAGUUAGGAAGGGAAGCGGCUGAGUUUAUCAGUGGGACUUUUACCAAGCCUAUAAAACUGGAGUUUGAGAAGGUGUAUUAUCCAUAUUUACUGAUUAGCAAGAAGAGAUACGCUGGUCUUUAUUGGACCAAUCCUGAGAAGUUUGACAAAAUGGAUACUAAAGGCAUUGAAACUGUCCGAAGAGAUAAUUGCUUGCUGGUGAAAAACCUGGUAAAUGAAUGCCUCCAUAAAAUACUUAUUGAUCGAGAUAUUCCUGGAGCAGUACAAUACGUCAAAGACACCAUCUCAGAACUGUUGAUGAAUCGCGUUGAUUUAUCCCUUCUUGUUAUUACUAAGGGUUUGACAAAGUCGGGAGAUGAUUAUGAUGUCAAAGCAGCCCAUGUUGAACUUGCUGAACGCAUGCGCAAGCGAGAUGCUGCCACUGCACCGAAUGUUGGUGAUCGGGUACCUUAUGUUAUCAUUAAAGCUGCAAAAGGUGCCAAGGCUUAUGAACGAUCGGAGGAUCCUAUCUAUGUUCUAGAACAUAGCAUCCCAAUUGAUGCACAGUACUAUCUUGAGAACCAAAUAAGCAAGCCACUGCUAAGAAUUUUCGAGCCAAUUCUGAAGAAUGCUAGCAAGGAACUUCUUUCCGGAAGCCACACAAGAUCUAUUUCAAUCUCUACUCCUUCCAAUAGUGGCAUAAUGAAGUUUGCUAAGAAACAACUCACUUGCCUCGGUUGCAAAGCAUUACUCAGCAACAAGGAUCAUACUCUCUGUUCUCACUGCAAGGGAAGAGAAGCAGAACUUUACUGUAAAACAGUGGCAAACGUGUCUGAACUGGAGGAGCUUUUUGGGAAAUUGUGGACGCAGUGCCAAGAAUGUCAAGGAUCACUCCAUCAAGAUGUCCUCUGCACAAGUCGGGAUUGCCCCAUAUUUUACCGGAGGAAGAAGGUGCAAAAGGACAUGGCCGAGGCCCAAAGACAAUUAGACAGAUGGGACUUCUGACACUUCCUGGUGCGCGUCUUGUCCCUCUUUGUUAUGCUCAUGUUCAUACCCGACAUCACUGGAGAUAUGGGCAAGAAUCGCAAAAAACUCGGUAAUUGGCGGAAUGCUUCACAGAGAUCCACACUAGACAUCUAUACUAAAGCUAUUAGUUGUGUGGCUAUUUUUGCUAGAUAGGACGCCCUCCCCUCCAGGAGAAUUUGUAUUUUGAUGUUCCGGGUUGUGUAGCUUUUAUGUUUAUUGCAACGGGAUGUACUUGAUGCAGCUAUCACGAGGAGGGUCAACCGUCGAUGUAUAGCGGAAAUGAGGUAUAAGAGCAGAUUGUAAUUAGAUAUUGUAGAUUUCUCCUUAAUGCAGUUGAUUGGGUAUAUACAAGGUGGGUCUUGUGUUGUA